rnacentral:siRNA from 1 species
UAUGCCUGAGCGGGGUAA